CUCUUCUGUCACUUUAUGAUAUUGGUCGAGGGUGAUGCGGCAUGUGAUACGGAUUUUGCCCUGUUAUAUACGCUUUAUCAUAUAUUUCACCAGACUUUAUAUAUAUGUCACCAUACUUUAUAUAUCUGUCCCCACACUUUAUAUAUAUAUGUCACCAGACUUUAUAUAUCUGUCACCACACUUUAUAUAUCUGUCACCACACCUUUUAUAUCUGUCACCACAUGCACAUUUUAUAUAUCCGUCACCACACUUUAUAUACCUGUCACCAGACUUUAUAUAUCUGUCACCACACUUUAUAUAUAUAUGUCACCAGACUCCGUCACAACACUUUAUAUAUCUGUCACCACACUUAAUAUAUAUCUGUCACCACACUUUAUAUAUCUGUCACCACACUUUAUAUUCUGUCACCACACUUUAUAUAUCUGCCACCACACUUUCUAUAUCUGUCACUAAACUUUCUAUAUCUGUCACCACACUUUAUACAUCUGUCACCAGACUUUAUAUAUCUGUCACCACACUUUAUAUAUCUGUCACCAGACUUUAUUUAUCUGUCACCACACGUAAUAUAUAUCUGUCACCAGACUCUGUCACCACACUUUAUAUAUCUGUCACCACACUUUGUAUAUCUAUCACCACACUUUAUAUAUCUGUCAUUACACUUGACAUAUCCAUUUCCACACUUUAUAUGUCUAUCACUACUUUAUAUAUCUGUCACCACACUUUAUAUUCUGUCACCACACUUUAUAUAUCUGCCACC
rnacentral:lncRNA from 1 species